rnacentral:rRNA from 1 species
UACGUAGGGUGCGAGCGUUAAUCGGAAUUACUGGGCGUAAAGCGUGCGCAGGCGGUUUCUUAAGUCUGAUGUGAAAGCCCACGGCUCAACCGUGGAGGGUCAUUGGAAACUGGGAAACUUGAGUGCAGAAGAGGAGAGUGGAAUUCCACGUGUAGCGGUGAAAUGCGUAGAGAUCGGGAGGAGCACCAGUGGCGAAGGCGGCUACCUGGACCAGCACUGACACUGAGGCACGAAAGCGUGGGGAGCAAACAGG